AUUGAACGCUGGCGGCAGGCCUAACACAUGCAAGUCGAGCGGCAGCGGGAAAGUAGCUUGCUACUUUUGCCGGCGAGCGGCGGACGGGUGAGUAAUGCCUGGGGAUCUGCCCAGUCGAGGGGGAUAACUACUGUAAACGGUAGCUAAUACCGCAUACGCCCUACGGGGGAAAGCAGGGGACCUUCGGGCCUUGCGCGAUUGGAUGAACCCAGGUGGGAUUAGCUAGUUGGUGAGGUAAUGGCUCAUCAAGGCGACGAUCCCUAGCUGGUCUGAGAGGAUGAUCAGCCGCACUGGAACUGAGACACGGUCCAGACUCCUACGGGAGGCAGCAGUGGGGAAUAUUGCACAAUGGGGGAAACCCUGAUGCAGCCAUGCCGCGUGUGUGAAGAAGGCCUUCGGGUUGUAAAGCACUUUCAGCGAGGAGGAAAGGUUGGUAGCUAAUAACUGCCAGCUGUGACGUUACUCGCAGAAGAAGCACCGGCUAACUCUGUGCCAGCCGCCGCCGUAACAC
rnacentral:rRNA from 1 species